rnacentral:lncRNA from 1 species
ACUGCCACAAAGGACAUCAUUCUCUUCUUCUUCUUCUUCUUCUUCUCUUUUUUUUUUUUAAUUGCUUGUGUUUUCAAUUAACGUUGCUCUGAUUAUGUGCUGAUAUGUGGAGUUUAUGAUGGUCAGCCUCUGUAUGAUUUGAUAGUAUAAAGAUAUGACUUUCAGGGGGCAUUAAACGCCUCAUAUAACAGAUAAUUACUCCUCUGUUCAUCGGCCGUGUGAAAAUGUUUGUGCUACACAUUAAUUUUUAAUAAAUCUGUCCGUUUUAAACAUUACUGUCUUUGCGGCCGAGCGUGGGUCCGUUCGAGAGGACGGAGGGCAUGGCUGAGCAUGGGAAAUCGGCCCUGCCGUUUUCCUGCGGGGUGUGAAGGGGCAGUCAGUUAAGGCUCGUAGCCUUUGUAAAAGUGUCAGUGUGUAGGUACUGCAGGGCAAAAAACAAUUCACCAAUUCAAUUAGGCCAUUAUCUCCUCAUCAGGUCUAGAUGCCCCAGAGCGGCGAGAUAUCAGAGGGAGAGACUUGUGACCUGAACCAGCUUCAAAGUGGAGUACAGUUGUUCCCCGGCUGAGUUGAUUCAUUCCCACGUCAGUGCCCUAUCCAAGUGUCCAGGCGCCCCCUAGAGGCAGAGACAGUUAAUGCUGCACUUUUACAAGAUGUGUCAGGAUUCUUCUGUGGCUUUGCCAGGACGUUCCAGAUUUAGGGCCUGUGGAAUCUCCCCGUGGCGGUGCGCAGCCCUGCGAGAAAGAGGAUGGGGGCCGGAGAAUGUGUGUGCGUGUGUGUGCGUGCAUGUGUGUGUGUGUGUACACACACUUUUGUGUGUUUCGCACAUUGUCCUGUCAGUUUGCACCAUUUGCUCUGCACUAGAUCAACAGAUUUCUGUGUUCUGUCUGGUGUGUGUGAGUUAUAAAACCCUUCAAACAUUUAGAUUUAGUGUUUUCAAUAGCUCAACAUAAACCUGGCUUUUUAAUAAUAUGACGCAGAAAUAAAUUAAGAAAUAUUACAGAUUUCUGAGGUUCA